UACGUAGGUGGCAAGCGUUGUCCGGAUUUACUGGGCGUAAAGGGCGUGCAGGCGGUUUGUUAAGUGCAGGGUGAAAGCUCCCGGCUCAACUGGGAGAGGUCCUUGCAUACUGGCAAACUCGAGGGAGGCAGAGGAAAGUGGAAUUCCCGGUGUAGUGGUGAUAUGCGUAGAUAUCGGGAGGAACACCUGUGGGGAAGGCGGCUUUCUGGGCCUUACCUGACGCUGAGACGCGAAAGCGUGGGGAGCGAACCGG
rnacentral:rRNA from 1 species